rnacentral:rRNA from 1 species
AACGAACGCUGGCGGCAUGCCUAACACAUGCAAGUCGAACGAGACCUUCGGGUCUAGUGGCGCACGGGUGCGUAACGCGUGGGAACCUGCCCUUAGGUUCGGAAUAACUCCCCGAAAGGGGUGCUAAUACCGGAUAAUGUCUUCGGACCAAAGAUUUAUCGCCUUUGGAUGGGCCCGCGUUGGAUUAGCUAGUUGGUAGGGUAAAAGCCUACCAAGGCGACGAUCCAUAGCUGGUCUGAGAGGAUGAUCAGCCACACUGGGACUGAGACACGGCCCAGACCCACCCGGACGGUCACGUGGGGGAAAAAUGAAAGACGGGAGAAUGAGCUAUCCCGCCAUUCCGGAAAAUGGUUGAAGGCUUUGGGGUUGAAAAACUAUUUUCCCCGGGAAGAUAAAGCAAGCCCCGGGAAAAAAAGCCCCGGAUACUACCGU